rnacentral:rRNA from 1 species
UACGGGGGGGGGCAAGCGUUGUUCGGAAUUACUGGGCGUAAAGGGCUCGUAGGCGGCCAACUAAGUCGGAUGUGAAAUCCCGAGGCUCAACCUCGGGUCUGCAUCCGAUACUGCCCGGCUAGAGGUAGGUAGGGGAGAUCGGAAUUCCUGGUGUAGCGGUGAAAUGCGCAGAUAUCAGGAGGAACACCGGUGGCGAAGGCGGAUCUCUGGGCCCUACCUGACGCUCAGGCGCGAAAGCUAGGGGAGCGAACUGG